rnacentral:rRNA from 1 species
UCGCCUGCACGAAGUCGGAAUUGCUAGUAAUCGUAGGUCAGCAUACUACGGUGAAUACGUUCCCGGGCCUUGUACACACCGCCCGUCAAACCAUGAGAGUUGGCAACACCCGAAGUCGGUAGUCUAACCGCAAGGAGGACGCCGCCGAAGGUGGGGUUGAUGAUUAGGGUUAAGUCGUAACAAGGUAAC